rnacentral:tRNA from 1 species
GCACCCGUGGACCGAGCGGUGAGGCGACGGACUGCAAAUCCGUCUACGCGGGUUCGAAUCCCGCCGGGUGCUCCA